CAAUAAUCUGUGUGUUAAAGAGUACUCCAGGUGAUUCUGAUGCACUAGAAUAAAAAAAGAGUGUGUUUUUAUAGGUGUAUGCUGCCACAAUGAGCUGCAGUUUGUUUCUGUGAUGUGUGUAGUUCAGUCCUUUACAUGGACAUUGGAUGAUUUAAGUUAGCAGUUUCUACAGAAAGAAAGAAAAGAGGUCUAAGAAGUCAAGACUCACAGAUGAUCCAUUAGAACCUCUGGAGAGGAGUUCCAUAGAAGCUGAGUGAUUUUUCAGUCUGGUGAGUUCUGCUCAGCAAUGUAUUGGAAAAAGUUCCAGAAGAAGUCUCCCAGGCUGGUGUGAGCAAGAAGCAAGGUUGUUUUUCCUUGAACAGCCCUCCAUGUCUGCUGCUUUUCCCAGAAGGAGAUGGGCUCCAGCUCCCUCUCUGUUGACCCUGACGUGGUCCACCUCUGUGCCUGUCCAUGGGACCUCCGAACAAAACACCAUCACUGGAAAGCUAAAGGAGCCAAAUCAGAAUCCCUGGACUUCUCACAUCACCUAUGGUAGAGGUGCGCAUGUCCAACUGAGAAUCAGAGAACACAUCCAGAAUGAGAAGGCCAAUGUAGAUCUGAAGCAGGCUGAGACCCAGAAGGAGAAGACCUUCUCCCUAAAACACGGUAACGACAAUUGUGUAAGUCACCUCCAUCAUCCUCACUUCAUCUCCUGAAGAUUAGACUCAACCCUUAGGAGAAGGAGUGCAAAGAAAUAAAAGUAAGAG
rnacentral:lncRNA from 1 species